CCAUUGGAUGUUCUUGAUCCUUUGUGGGGUUUGUCUUGUUCUAGCAGUUUUGAAGAUCUCUGCAAAUGGGUGGUUUGGAUUCUCUGAUGUUCUUUAAAGAUUAAAUAUAGAUGUAUGUUGGUAGAAUGUGGUGGCAAUCGAAUCUAAGGCAAUUGGGGCAUAUUAGUUUGCUGUAAAUUGGGCUGAUCUAUAGUUGUAGUUUCUCUUUUCUUUGGUUUUUCUUUUCCUAUAAUUCUUUUGGCUUUUGCCCUUUUGUGCAAUAAAAUCUUCAAAGUUUAAAAAAAAAAAUUUUAAAAAAAAUAAAUCAUCCCGUUGACCUGUUGGUAAACAAGGGGCUUGCUAUCCCCAUAUGCACCCUCUCUACAUGCAAAUGCAGCAGAGUGCCAACAUGGCUGGUCCACUCAUCAGGCAGCCACCCCUAUAUGAAAGCAAUGGAUGGUUUAAGGUAACUUGCCAACAAUGUUCAAAAAGAAGAAGGAAAAAAGAAAGAAAGAUUACUUGCUAACAGUCAAUUGUCAAUAUAUCAAAACCGAUAAGUCAUUUGGAGAAAAUCCUUUCCUUAAAAUGCUUCCUAUGAUGGUGGAUUGUUUAAGAUUAACUUGCCAACAGUCCACUGUCAACAUAGACAUCUGUGUAAGCCCUCUGGAAAAAAUCGCUUUCCUAUUAUCUCUUAAUGCUUCCUAUGAUGGAUGCUUGCUAUAGCCAUCUAUUUCAUCUUUAAUUGCAUUGUAUUUUAGUUGAUAUGAUUCUUUUUCACCUAUGCUUACGAGCUUUGCUUCAGAAUAUUUUUCUAUAAUUCUUUGUGAAACCUUUUAUCUAAGCUGCAAGUCAUUCAUUUGUUGCACCAACCUUGGUGUACUUCAUUCUUCUUGAGAACUUCUAAUUUUUCUGGAAUAAUGGCAGGGUUUUGAUGUGAAACUAAUCAAUGUAAAUCGGACUUCCAAAGUUACAAAAGGCGAUGCUCCUUUCUCUUUUAUUUGGGUUCUUUCUUAGGAAUAAAAUUCAUUUCUCUAUUGUAUGUGAUCUUUCUCUUCACUUCCUUUUUCGGGGAGGACAAGUGGUCAAGUACACUGCCAUGUUAGCUUGUGGCAACUAUCAUGGAGUUGUGAGCUUUGCAAAAGGAAAAGGCCCAACAAUUCCCAUUGCCCUCCAGAAGCAAAUGAGUGACUAUUUUACCUCCAUUUGUUGCCAUUCUGAGACGCUGGCGGCCACUUUUGGCAAAUGCGCCGCCUCUUGAGGUGAUUGAACUUCCACACUCCUAUCUCUUU